rnacentral:rRNA from 1 species
GAUGAACGCUGGCGGCGUGCCUAAUACAUGCAAGUCGAGCGAACAGACGAGGAGCUUGCUCCUCUGACGUUAGCGGCGGACGAGUGAGUAACACGUGGAUAACCUACCUAUAAGACUGGGAUAACUUCGGGAAACCGGAGCUAAUACCGGAUAAUAUAUAGAACCGCAUGGUUCAAUAGUGAAAGACGGUUUUGCUGUCACUUAUAGAUGGAUCCGCGCCGCAUUAGCUAGUUGGUAAGGUAACGGCUUACCAAGGCAACGAUGCGUAGCCGACCUGAGAGGGUGAUCGGCCACACUGGAACUGAGACACGGUCCAGACUCCUACGGGAGGCAGCAGUAGGGAAUCUUCCGCAAUGGGCGAAAGCCUGACGGAGCAACGCCGCGUGAGUGAUGAAGGUCUUCGGAUCGUAAAACUCUGUUAUUAGGGAAGAACAAAUGUGUAAGUAACUAUGCACGUCUUGACGGUACCUAAUCAGAAAGCCACGGCUAACUACGUG